UACGAAGGGGGCUAGCGUUGCUCGGAAUCACUGGGCGUAAAGGGUGCGUAGGCGGGUCUUUAAGUCAGGGGUGAAAUCCUGGAGCUCAACUCCAGAACUGCCUUUGAUACUGAGGAUCUUGAGUUCGGGAGAGGUGAGUGGAACUGCGAGUGUAGAGGUGAAAUUCGUAGAUAUUCGCAAGAACACCAGUGGCGAAGGCGGCUCACUGGCCCGGUUACUGACGCUGAGGCACGAAGGCCAGGGGAGCAAACGGG
rnacentral:rRNA from 1 species